rnacentral:tRNA from 1 species
GGUGGGGGAGCUCAGUGGUAGAGUGCUUGCUUAGCAUGCACCAGGUCCUGGGUUUAAUCCUCAGUACCACCA